CACCAAUUCACACUGCUUCUCACUUUCAUUGAUAAUGUGAAAUUAAUCACAGUCACAUGAAUAUUGUAAAAGUAAAUCUAUAUAUGUUCUUUGCAUUCAAUGAAGUAAAUACAAGUUGAAUUUAUCAAGGCUUGUGUGGAUUUUGCAUCUUUAAUGUUAACCUUAUCUAGUCUUUUUAUUAUAACAGCCCUCCCUUCAAUAACUUCUAGAUGUUUUGUUUCAACAGUUUCUGUUAAAAUCAAAUUUUCGAUGGCAUCUGAUUGAUGAUCCUAUUGGGAUGAAUCACAACCCAAUAGGAUUUGAUGCUAUUCUCCAGAAAAUAACUUAUGAUGGACCAUACAUUGUAAAUACAUAUAUUUUUGUUUAGUAUUUGGUAAUCAUUGUAUCAAUCUUUGAUCUCUUCAAGUUUGUCUUGUUUUCUAAAGUUAUCUAGAAGGCAUUUCACUUCCGAUUUGGUGAAACCAUAAAAUGUGGAAAGCUGAUGGUCAAUAUAAAUGGACAAUGUAUUAUGUUGUUUGGAUCUGAAAAUAAAACUCUAAAUAGUCUCACACAUGCAUUAAGUAGUUCCUAUGCUAUAUAACAUUUUGAACAUAACAGUAAGAAAUCAUACAACGGAUCAGCAUUAGUCUUUCUGAUGCUCAUCACUUCUCUGUAUUAUUGCUGUGUUGAUUGGUGCAUCAUAUUUGUCUAUGAGGACACAAUACUUUUUUCUUCUUACUAAAGCAUGCAUUCAAAAUUUCAGACAAAUAUGUCAAUUCCUGUAUAAUUUUUGUCUCAGUACUUCAAAGCUUGUGAUAUCCUAAUUCAUUAAAAAUGGUCUACUUUAUGAUUUUUCAAUUUGAUUGGACUUGACCAUUUAUAUUCUGAAUCAGAGAUUUUCUUUAUCAAAUAUGAAUGCUGCCUGAAGGCUUAAUAUAGUACAAACCUGAACAUCUUCAAAAUCUGUUCAAAAGAAGCAUCACCAUUUAUUAGCUUAAAGUCAGCAUGGGUGGCAGCCACAGUGCUCAUAGAAAAAAUUGUCUGCUUUGACACUGGGAAUAAUCUUUCAGCUGUUUGGCUUGCACUGCUAUGAAGAAUCACAAUAACAUUAAUAGCUCAGUAACUUCUUGUCUUUGAACAGUUUAAAAUUUUCUGCUACCUUUUUGUAAGUUUUUCCUUGCAAUGAUUAUCAUUUCUACAUAUACUGUUCUUUCAAUACCUAGUUUCCUGACUGAUAAUUAUUUUUAAAAAUAUCUUGAGUAUGCACAUGUUGCUAGAUCUAUCAAAUCUCCAGGGUGUUGUGAUCAGCAGUUUAACGUGUGUCCUGAAAGAAUUCCCUUAUGAAUAGACUCUUGUCUAUAAAAGCUUCAGUAUUUAUCAAAUCCUUAAAUUCAGAAGUAUCAAGAUGAAUGAUUUUCACUGAUGUUUAUUGCAAAUAAAAAUGAAAAAUUACCAAAUUACCAAUAUAUAAAAUCAUUAUUCAACUAGUACAAUGUAAAUUUAUUGGUACUCUAUUAGCAACCUUUUCAAUGUCAAAAUCAGGCUAUCAUCAGCUGCAAGAUUUUCUGGAGGUUCAAAUCUUUGCUGUUCUGUUUCUUUCAAAUAAAAAUUUCUGAAAUAAAUUAAAUUAAAUCUCAAAGAAAAUAAAAUUGUCACAAAAUAUUACUCAAAAAUAAAAGUCAAACAACAAUCUGAACUUCAACAAUUCAAAAAUAAUUGCAUAUAUUUUACUCAGCAUAAAAAAUUAAAUAUAUCAAAGAAUAUCAAUGAAGUAACUCAAAUGAGAAAUCAGAAUUUUUCCACUGAAUACCUCAAGUUAAUUGUGAAUGAGAAAUAACAAAGAAUUUUGCAAAAAUAAAGGAUAUCAAGAAAUACUCUAAAUCUAGGCCUUAAAUCAUUAAGCAUUGAAAUGAUACAAAAAAGAAAUGUAAAUAAAAAAGAACAAUCUGGAUCAAAAGAAAUUGAAGAGAACAAAUGCAAACAAAGGAAAGAAAAAAGAUUUUAAAAAGUAAAAUUACAAAAGAAGGAAAAGAUUUAGAUAAAGAAGCAAAUGAAUUAGUAAAUAAUUCCUUACAAGAGUUGUAAAGCAAUAAAAAUAUCUAUGAUAGGAUAUGCGAUAGUGAUCAAACGAUGCAAAGCAGUCUUUAAAAAAAUCAAUAAUUUUUUAGCUAUCAAUAGAUUAUAUAUUUACAACUUAUUACAUACAUUCCUAAUGAUCAGAAGCAAAAAUGGAAAAAGAAAUUAAACUUAUUUUUAGUGAAAAUUAAAAAUUAGAAGAUAAUGUAAAAAGAUAGCAAGAUUUAAACAAGAAAUAGUGAAUAAAUAUGUUGUAAGAAAAGCAGUUAAUUUAUUUCUUGAGCAAUUAAUUAUGACUGAUUAUGAACUGGAAGCUGCCAAUAAUAAAAUAGAUGAAUUAGAGUAUAAAUUACCUAAUUAUAAUAAUUAUGAUUCUAAGAAAACUAGCAAAAUUAAGAAAUAAAACAGCAGUAAUACUUUCUAAAAUAGAUAAAGCAAAGAAAAGAACAAUGAAAAUAUUUGAAAGAUACACUAAAAAUAUAAAAGCAAUAAAUAAAAAUAUUGAAAAAAAUAUAUAUAAAAGGAAACUGAAAAAUCGAUCAAGAGAAGAACUAAUUAGAAAUUGCUUUUUGUCAAAAGAAUUAAUUAGAAAUGUUGUAAAAACCAGACAAACUAUUAAGAGAAAAAUGAUAUAAGAGAAUAGAUAGAAAAAGAAUC
rnacentral:lncRNA from 1 species